rnacentral:rRNA from 1 species
AGAGUUUGAUCAUGGCUCAGAGCGAACGCUGGCGGCGUGCUUAACACAUGCAAGUCGAGUGCGCAGCUUCCUGUAGCAAUACAGGGAGUGGGCGCACGGCGCACGGGUGCGUAACACGUGGGCAAUCUGCCCUCGGAUGGGGGAUAACUCGUCGAAAGGCGAGCUAAUACCGCAUGACAUUCCGAAGACUCCGGUCUUUGGACUCAAAGGCCGCAAGGCCGUCUGAGGAGGAGCCCGCGCCCGAUUAGCUAGUUGGUGAGGUGAUGGCUCACCAAGGCAAUGAUCGGUAGCUGGUCUGAGAGGAUGGCCAGCCACACUGGAACUGAGACACGGUCCAGACUCCUACGGGAGGCAGCAGUGGGGAAUCUUGCGCAAUGGGCGAAAGCCUGACGCAGCGACGCCGCGUGGGGGAUGAAGCUUCUCGGAGUGUAAACCCCUUUCGACUGGGACGAAUGCCUCGCAAGAGGAGUGACGGUACCAGUAGAAGAAGCCCCGGCUAACUACGUGCCAGCAGCCGCGGUAAGACGUAGGGGGCCAGCGUUGUUCGGAAUUACUGGGUGUAAAGGGUUCGUAGGCGGUGUGGCAAGUCGGGAGUGAAAUCUAUGGGCUUAACUCAUAGUCUGCUUCCGAAACUGCUGUGCUGGAGUGUGGGAGAGGCGCGUGGAAUUGCGGUGUAGCGGUGAAAUGCGUAGAUAUCUGCAGGAACACCCGUGGCGAAAGCGGCGCGCUGGACCACUACUGACGCUGAGGAACGAAAGCUAGGGGAGCAAACAGGAUUAGAUACCCUAGUAGUCC